AUUGAACGCUGGCGGCAUGCCUUACACAUGCAAGUCGAACGGCAGCACGGGAGCUUGCUCCUGGUGGCGAGUGGCGAACGGGUGAGUAAUACAUCGGAACGUACCCUGAAGUGGGGGAUAACGUAGCGAAAGUUACGCUAAUACCGCAUAUUCUGUGAGCAGGAAAGAGGGGGAUCGCAAGACCUCUUGCUUUAGGAGCGGCCGAUGUCGGAUUAGCUAGUUGGUGAGGUAAAGGCUCACCAAGGCGACGAUCCGUAGCGGGUCUGAGAGGAUGAUCCGCCACACUGGGACUGAGACACGGCCCAGACUCCUACGGGAGGCAGCAGUGGGGAAUUUUGGACAAUGGGCGCAAGCCUGAUCCAGCCAUGCCGCGUGAGUGAAGAAGGCCUCGGUUGU
rnacentral:rRNA from 1 species